rnacentral:rRNA from 1 species
UACGAAGGGGGCUAUCGUUGCUCGGAAUCACUGGGCGUAAAGCGCACGUAGGCGGAUCUUUAAGUCAGGGGUGAAAUCCUGGAGCUCAACUCCAGAACUGCCUUUGAUACUGGGGAUCUCGAGUCCGGAAGAGGUGAGUGGAACUCCGAGUGUAGAGGUGAAAUUCGUAGAUAUUCGGAAGAACACCAGUGGCGAAGGCGGCUCACUGGUCCGGUACUGACGCUGAGGUGCGAAAGCGUGGGGAGCAAACAGG